rnacentral:lncRNA from 1 species
AGCUAACAAAUUCAGCUUCCUGGCCAUGAAAGGUCCUGUGCCACCACAGCACUCUGCACAGGGUACCCACUACUAAGAAGACUCUUGCGAGAUUUGGCCCCUUCACUUUGAACUUGUCAGCUUCCAUAACUGAAGGCAAUUCAGGAGGUACUGCCAGUAGCCUAGCCUUUUCUUCUGUUGAAAUGCAGUGUGGAGGUCAAGGGGGAGGUGAUCCCAGAUGCCUGUGUCUCCUUCCUCAGUAGAACAUCUUCAAGUGUACCAAAAUCUGGCUGGAGUUUGUAUGAGAGAGAGCAAUGUUUUCAAGUUGUAUUUUGCUUCCCAGCUGCUAUUUGUGCAGUCUACACUGAUGCACCAAAUAAAUAUCUAUUUAUAAAUCAGUUCCAUCCGAGAAAAAGUCAGAGACCAGUCAGGAGACUUCCACCCAAAGGCAACUGAAAAAAUACCCACAUUAAAUGGGUAAGUGAAGUCAAAGUAUACUAAGGCAUGGACCCCACACUGGGAACUUCAUCAUACAAUUGGGAAAGGAAUCUCCAAUACUCAGU